rnacentral:rRNA from 1 species
CAGCCUACAAGUCCUUUACUGACGCUAAAGCUCGAAGGUGCGGGUAUCGAACAGGAUUAGAUACCCUGGUAGUCCGCACGGUAAACGAUGGAUGCCCGCUGUUUGCGAUAUAGUGUGAGCGGCCAAGCGAAAGCGUUAAGCAUCCCACCUGGGGAGUACGCCGGCAACGGUGAAACUCAAAGGAAUUGACGGGGGCCCGCACAAGCGGAGGAACAUGUGGUUUAAUUCGAUGAUACGCGAGGAACCUUACCCGGGCUUGAACUGCAGCAGAACGAUUGAGAGAUCAUGAGGUCCUUCGGGACUGCUGUGGAGGUGCUGCAUGGUUGUCGUCAGCUCGUGCCGUGAGGUGUCGGCUUAAGUGCCAUAACGAGCGCAACCCCUCUCUUCAGUUGCCAUCACUUCGGGUGGGCACUCUGGAGACACUGCCACCGUAAGGUGUGAGGAAGGUGGGGAUGACGUCAAAUCAGCACGGCCCUUACGUCCGGGGCUACACACGUGGUACAAUGGGUGGUACAGAGCGUCGGCCGCCGGCAACGUCGGUCCAAUCGUGAAAUCCAUCCUCAGUUCGGACUGGGGUCUGCAACCCGACCCCACGAAGCUG